rnacentral:rRNA from 1 species
AUCAACGCUGGCGGCGUGCCUAACACAUGCAAGUCGAACGCGAAAGCCCCGCAAGGGGUGAGUAGAGUGGCAAACGGGUGAGUAACACGUGGGUGAUCUGCCUCAGAGUGGGGGAUAACGACCCGAAAGGGUCGCUAAUACCGCAUAACAUCCUGCCUUUGGAUAGGUGGCGAUCAAAGUUGGGGAUCCGCAAGGACCUGACGCUUGGAGAGGAGCCCGCGGCCGAUUAGCAGUUGGUGAGGUAACGGCUCACCAAGGCAACGAUCGGUAUCCGGCCUGAGAGGGCGGACGGACACACUGGGACUGAGACACGGCCCAGACUCCUACGGAGGCAGCAGUGGGGAAUUGUUCGCAAUGGGCGCAAGCCUGACGACGCAACGCCGCGUGGAGACGAAGAUUUCGGAUCGUAAACUCCUUUCGAUCGGGAAGAACAGCUCCUGGGUUAAUAGCCUGAGAGUCUGACGGUACCGAGAGAAGAACG